rnacentral:rRNA from 2 species
ACUGAUUGAUGGUGCUUGCACCUGAUUGACGAUGGAUCACCAGUGAGUGGCGGACGGGUGAGUAACACGUAGGUAACCUGCCCCGGAGCGGGGGAUAACAUUUGGAAACAGAUGCUAAUACCGCAUAACAACAAAAGCCACAUGGCUUUUGUUUGAAAGAUGGCUUUGGCUAUCACUCUGGGAUGGACCUGCGGUGCAUUAGCUAGUUGGUAAGGUAACGGCUUACCAAGGCGAUGAUGCAUAGCCGAGUUGAGAGACUGAUCGGCCACAAUGGAACUGAGACACGGUCCAUACUCCUACGGGAGGCAGCAGUAGGGAAUCUUCCACAAUGGGCGCAAGCCUGAUGGAGCAACACCGCGUGAGUGAAGAAGGGUUUCGGCUCGUAAAGCUCUGUUG